UCCGGAGCGCAUCGCUCGAGGGGGUGCGACCUCCCUCAAGCACGGAACUCAUAGCAAGUAUGAUCGAAUCCUUAACUCUAAGGAUUAUAAGUUCAAUCAUGUCACUACACUAACUCUAGUGUUCUUUACAUCACUUUAUAUUGCUAACUCUAGCAAUCAUUGUUCUUUGCUCUUUACAUGUUCUUUUGCCCCACUUUACAUUAUUCUUUCAUUCUUUAUUCUUAAUGCCACACUUUGCAUUAACUUUAGCCAUUGUCAUUAUCUUUACAUCACAUUGAUUCUUUGCCCCACACUAACUCUAGUGUUCUUUACUUUACAUUAUCAAAUGCCACUCGAUCUAUGUCACAUUGUAUCACUCUGUUCUUUUACCUCACUUGGGUGCUCAUAUUUCCUCUCAUGCAUACACAUAGGGUUUCACAUUUAUAUAGGUUCUCAACCAUCAAUAAGCAAGAUGUACUCACAAGCAUGCCACAUCACAUUCUUUUCAUUACUUUACCCUAAAUGCAUGCAACAAUGUAUGUAACAUAUGCUCAAUUGAAUGACACAUUAGGCAUAGAAGGAAGUUCAAUGAGUUUGGAAAGCACCACCAACCUUGUAGGUUCACUUAGGUGCUCCGAUAAUUUUCUUGGGAUUUUUAGACACCCGGUUCGCUACCUGCAGCAAAACGAAGCCCUAUUAGGCCAUUUU
rnacentral:lncRNA from 1 species